rnacentral:rRNA from 1 species
AUUGAACGCUGGCGGCAUGCUUUACACAUGCAAGUCGAACGGCAGCACGGGAGCAAUCCUGGUGGCGAGUGGCGAACGGGUGAGUAAUACAUCGGAACGUGUCCUAAAGUGGGGGAUAACGCAUCGAAAGAUGUGCUAAUACCGCAUAAUCUCUACGGAGGAAAGUGGGGGAUCGCAAGACCUCAUGCUUUUGGAGCGGCCGAUGUCUGAUUAGCUAGUUGGUGGGGUAAUGGCUCACCAAGGCGACGAU